rnacentral:rRNA from 1 species
UCGAGAAUCUUCCGCAAUGGGCGCAAGCCUGACGGAGCGACGCCGCGUGGAGGACGAAGGCCUUUGGGUUGUAAACUCCUGUCACGGGUUAUGAAUGCGCGUAUGCGAAUAGUGUGCGCGUUGACGUCAGCCCGAGAGGAAGCACCGGCUAACUCUGUGCCAGCAGCCGCGGUAAUACAGAGGGUGCAAACGUUGUUCGGAAUCACUGGGCAUAAAGCGCGCGUAGGCGGCUCUGUCAGUGUGAAGUGAAAUCCCACGGCUCAACCGUGGAACUGCUUUGCAUACUGCAGGGCUCGAGGACGGUAGGGGAGAGCGGAACUCCUGGUGGAGCGGUGAAAUGCGUAGAUAUCAGGAGGAACACCGGUGGCGAAGGCGGCUCUCUGGUCCGUUUCUGACGCUGAGGUGCGAAAGCCAGGGUAGCGAACGGGAUUAGAUACCCGUGUAGUCC